UCGAGAAUCUUCGGCAAUGGGCGCAAGCCUGACCGAGCGAUGCCGCGUGCGGGAUGAAGGCCUUCGGGUUGUAAACCGCUGUCAGUAGGGAGGAAAUGCUAUGGGGUACUCUCCAUAGUUUGACCUAUCUUCAGAGGAAGGACGGGCUAAGUUCGUGCCAGCAGCCGCGGUAAGACGAACCGUCCAAACGUUAUUCGGAAUCACUGGGCUUAAAGGGUGCGUAGGCGGCGCAGUAAGUUGGAUGUGAAAGCUCUCGGCUCAACCGAGGAAUUGCGUCCAAUACUGCUGUGCUAGAGGGAGACAGAGGUGAGCGGAACUCAGGGUGGAGCGGUGAAAUGCGUUGAUAUCCUGGGGAACACCGGUGGCGAAGGCGGCUCACUGGGUCUCUUCUGACGCUGAGGCACGAAAGCUAGGGUAGCGAACGGGAUUAGAUACCCCCGUAGUCC
rnacentral:rRNA from 1 species